UACAUGUGGGGCAAGCGUUGUUCGGAAUUACUGGGCAUAAAGGGUGCGUAGGUGGUUUGUUAAGUCAGUGGUGAAAUCCCGCGGCCCAACCGUGGAACUGCCAUCGAUACUGGCGGACUUGAGUGCGUGAGGGGUUACCGGAACGAGCAGUGUAGCGGUGAAAUGCGUAGAUAUUGCUCGGAAGGCCAGAGGCGAAGGCGGGUAACUGGCACGCAACUGAUACUGAGGCACGAAAGCGUGGGGAGCAAACAGG
rnacentral:rRNA from 1 species